rnacentral:rRNA from 1 species
GACGAACGCUGGCGGCGUGCCUAAUACAUGCAAGUUGAGCGCUGAAGGUUGGUACUUGUACCAACUGGAUGAGCAGCGCACGGGUGAGUAACGCGUGGGGAAUCUGCCUUUGAGCGGGGGACAACAUUUGGAAACGAAUGCUAAUACCGCAUAAAAACUUUAAACACAAGUUUUAAGUUUGAAAGAUGCAAUUGCAUCACUCAAAGAUGAUCCCGCGUUGUAUUAGCUAGUUGGUGAGGUAAAGGCUCACCAAGGCGAUGAUACAUAGCCGACCUGAGAGGGUGGUCGGCCACAUUGGGAGUGAGACACGGCCCAAACGGCUACGGGAGGCAGCAGUAGGGAAUCUGCGGAAAGGGACGAAAGUCUGACCGAGCAACGCCGCGGGAGGGAAGAAGGUUGUCGGAUCGUAAAACUCUGUUGGUAGGGAAGAACGUUGGUGAGAGUGGAAAGCUCAGCAAGUGACGGUAACUACCCAGAAAGGGACGGCUAACUACGUG